rnacentral:rRNA from 1 species
CCCUUAGAUGUUCUGGGCUGCACGCGCGCUACACUGACGCACGCAACAGGUGCCUGCUCCGAGAGGACUGGGUAAUCAUUUGAGUGUGCGUCGUGAUGGGGAUAGAAUAUUGUAAUUAUUACUCUUCAACGAGGAAUUCCUAGUAAGCGCCAGUCAGCAGCUUGCGCUGAUUACGUCCCUGCCCUUUGUACACACCGCCCGUCGCACCUACCGAUUGAAUGUUUCGGUGAAGAUUCCGGAUAGGACUUUUUUGAUUUAUUUCAAUUUUGUCUUAAAAGCUAUCUAAACCUCAACAUUUAGAGGAAGGUGAAGUCGUAACA